UCUCCCCCUCGCUCCCACACGCAUCCAGUUCCUUUAUUUUCUUUCACUUCUCUCUUAGAUAUCAGCAGUGGCUGCAGUCUGUGUUACUCGGGUGUUCCUUCCUCCGUGUUUUUAUCUCAGGCUGCUUUCCCUGGAAAUAGACAGUGCACUCAGUCGGGAACCCAUCCACCAAUGGACAGAAUGCAACUGCAGACUUGUCACCAGACCCUUGAAGGUUCCAUCUGUAAGCAGCUUACAAGAGCAGCCCCUCUAUUUGAACAUGACUUGCUACGACUGGUUUAGUGAGUUUUAAGACAGCUGACAAAUCUGCUGUAUGAACUGCAAACUCUACCACAUGAGAGGACUACAGUGGUUCAAGAAGAGAGCUCACCACCGUCUUCUCAAGGACACUGGAAUGGGCAACAAAUAGCCAGUGGCACUCAGAUUCUGUGAAUGCAUUUUAAGAAGUAAAUGUCGCCAACUUGAAAUGGACAUAUUUCUGGAUGUUUCUUCAUAGCAUUCAACUACCCAGCAUUCCUGUCAGCGGACAACUGACACAGCUGCCCUACAAUUUCACUUACCAAUUGGAAAGCAAUCACAUUCUUCAAUGUGCAGUUGAAUGAAUCUUGACUGUUACUGCAACAGCUUCUUUUAUCCCCAUUAUGCAUUUUUUUCUAAUUAAAUCAACUAAACUCUUCAAAAGGAAAUAAAUAGCAUCAUUUUUUUUGCACCUAUAAUUCCUUUCUUUGGCUGAUGAUAAGUAUCAAGCAACUAAUGUUUAAUUCCAGAAUUUUCUAGGGUAAUCCUAGACAGUUGGUAAUCCUAACCUCACACCACUACAUCACUCCAUGUCAAGCAGGCUGACAUUUGUCCACUUGAAACGCAUCACAUUUGGAGAUGGGU